rnacentral:rRNA from 1 species
CAGUCGCCACGGUAAUACGAGGGGGGCAAGCGUUGUUCGGAAUUAUUGGGCGUAAAGGGUGCGUAGGCGGUUUGAUAAGUCUUGUGUGAAAUCCCCGGGCUCAACCUGGGAACUGCAUUCAAAACUGACUGACUAGAGUAUGGUAGAGGGUGGUGGAAUUUCCUGUGUAGCGGUGAAAUGCGUAGAUAUAGGAAGGAACACCAGUGGCGAAGGCGACCACCUGGACUAAUACUGACACUGAGGUGCGAAAGCGUGGGGAGCAAACAGGAUUAGAUACCCCUGUAGUCCCUGUCUCUUAUAC